UUCACAGCAAUGAAAACCUGUGCUGCCUAU
rnacentral:piRNA from 1 species